rnacentral:snoRNA from 1 species
AUGAUGACGAAUUGGAUGUUCAAAAUUUAAGUUCUGGUGAUUUGAAAAACGCAGGUGCAGAUCAACACAUUGAAGAAGAAGACGAGUAGAAAAAAGACGUUUCGUAUUUCCUUCGAUGAUGAUGACAU